GGCUAGAGGUGUGUGCUCAGUGGUAGAGUGCUUGCCUUACAUGUGUGAAGCCUUAGGGUUCAAUCCCCAGCAUCGGCCA
rnacentral:tRNA from 1 species